CUUGGUGAUCGGAGGCCUGGAGAUACACAGCCACAUCUCUCAUUUUCUCCACCUGAUUUUAAGACUCAACAGUAAGCUUUGCAAAUACAUAGUCCUAGGCCUCAUUUCCCGAAAGGUCCAUUAGUUGGAAUAGAAAUGAUUACACCAGUGUCAUCAGUAACAGCCAUCCGUCAAAGAGAACGUCUCCACCUGCUGCUGUGUCCUGCCUCGCUCUGGAGCUCUGUAGGCUCCCUGUGGACAGCCUAAGCACAAAGCCUUCUGUGGGCAGGAUCAUCUACAAGAAGGGAAACGUGAUUUUAGACAUCCUUGCCUCAUGCUGUCCCAGAGGAGCGGAUCAAGGCAAGCUCUGGAACCCUGGAGCAGCCCGGAGCCAGGCCACAAUUCCGGGACUUGUGCAGAGAUGAGCCCCAGCACCCCCACCCUACCCCCACUGCCUUUUCCUCUUCAGAGUGCCUACAGGACUGCAAUGCAACUACUGACCCAAGGAGGUACUUGUUUCAGAGACUGUGUUGCCCUUCCAUAUAUGGGAUGUGUCCCUGGCCCCAUUAAAAUAGGACAUUAAUAAUUCAAAACUUC